rnacentral:misc_RNA from 1 species
AACAUAUUGAAAGGAGGUGAUCCAGUGCAUCAUGAAGUUCUGGAGAAGUGUGUCGGGACAGCUUGGGGGGUUCUGAUCUAAGGCAGCCCUUAGGUCUGUUACCCUUCAGGUGGGUGGCCGCUUGCGGUCCCUAACCGACCCACCUCCGAUAUUCAGGAAAGGGCUAUCCCAUCGCCGGGGUAGCCCU